GAGGAAAAGAAACCAACAGGGAUUGCCCCAGUAACGGCGAGUGAAGCGGCAACAGCUCAAAUUUGAAAUCUGGCCCCUAGGGUCCGAGUUGUAAUUUGUAGAGGAUGCUUUUGGUGAGGUGCCGCCCGAGUUCCCUGGAACGGGACGCCACAGAGGGUGAGAGCCCCGUCUGGCUGGCCGCCGAGCCUCUGUAAAGCUCCUUCGACGAGUCGAGUAGUUUGGGAAUGCUGCUCAAAAUGGGAGGUAUAUGUCUUCUAAAGCUAAAUAUUGGCCAGAGACCGAUAGCGCACAAGUAGAGUGAUCGAAAGAUGAAAAGCACCUUGAAAAGAGGGUUAAAUAGUACGUGAAAUUGUUGAAAGGGAAGCGCUUGUGACCAGACUUGGGCGCGGCGGAUCAUCCGGGGUUCUCUCCGGUGCACUUCGCCGCGUCUAGGCCAGCAUCAGUUCGUCGCGGGGGAAAAAGGCUUCGGGAACGUGGCUCCUCCGGGAGUGUUAUAGCCCGUUGCAUAAUACCCUGCGGUGGACUGAGGACCGCGCAUCUGCAAGGAUGCUGGCGUAAUGGUCACCAGCGACCCGUCUUGAAACACGGACCAAGGAGUCGUCUUCGUAUGCGAGUGUUCGGGUGUCAAACCCCUACGCGUAAUGAAAGUGAACGCAGGUGAGAGCUUCGGCGCAUCAUCGACCGAUCCUGAUGUUCUCGGAUGGAUUUGAGUAAGAGCAUACGGGGCCGGACCCGAAAGAAGGUGAACUAUGCCUGUAUAGGGUGAAGCCAGAGGAAACUCUGGUGGAGGCUCGCAGCGGUUCUGACGUGCAAAUCGAUCGUCAAAUAUGGGCAUGGGGGCGAAAGACUAAUCGAA
rnacentral:rRNA from 1 species